rnacentral:rRNA from 1 species
UCUGGUUGAUCCUGCCAGUAGUCAUAUGCUUGUCUCAAAGAUUAAGCCAUGCAUGUCUAAGUACAAACCUUAAUACGGUGAAACCGCGAAUGGCUCAUUAAAUCAGCUAUGGUUCCUUAGAUCGUCUCAUCCUACUCGGAUAACUGUGGAAAAUCUAGAGCUAAUACGUGCUUACAAGCCCUGACCUCACGGGAGGGGCGCAUUUAUUAGAUCAAAACCAAUCGGGGCUUGCCCCGUCUGCUUGGUGACUCUGGAUAACUUUUGUGCUGAUCGCAUGGCCUCUGCGCUGGCGACGUAUCUUUCAAGUGUCUGCCCUAUCAACUUACGAUGGUAGGUGAUAUGCCUACCAUGGUUAUAACGGGUAACGGGGAAUCAGGGUUCGAUUCCGGAGAGGGAGCCUGAGAAACGGCUACCACAUCUAAGGAAGGCAGCAGGCGCGCAAAUUACCCACUCCCGGCACGGGGAGGUAGUGACGAAAAAUAACGAUACGGGACUCUUUUGAGGCCCCGUAAUUGGAAUGAGUACACUUUAAAUCCGUUAACAAGUAUCUAUUGGAGGGCAAGUCUGGUGCCAGCAGCCGCGGUAAUUCCAGCUCCAAUAGCGUAUAUUAAUGUUGCUGCAGUUAAAAAGCUCGUAGUUGGAUCUGAGGACUCGAAUUGGUGGUGCACCAUACGGUGUUACUGCCGAUUCGGCCUACCUAGUCGGUGCUCGCUCUUGGUGUUCUUAAUUGAAUGCCCUGAGUGCCCGGCAAGUUUACUUUGAAAAAAUUAGAGUGCUCAAAGCAGGCCAUUAGCCGGAAUACUUCAGCAUGGAAUAAUGGAAUAGGACUUCGGUUCUAUUUUGUUGGUUUUCGGAACCCGAGGUAAUGAUUAAGAGAGACAGACGGGGGCAUUCGUACUGCGGUGUUAGAGGUGAAAUUCUUGGAUCGCCGCAAGACGAACAACUGCGAAAGCAUUUGCCAAGAAUGUUUUCAUUAAUCAAGAACGAAAGUCAGAGGUUCGAAGACGAUCAGAUACCGUCCUAGUUCUGACCAUAAACGAUGCCAACUGGCGAUCCGAGAUCGUUUGCUUAUUGACCUCUCGGGCAGCCUCCGGGAAACCAAAGUUUUUAGGUUCCGGGGGAAGUAUGGUUGCAAAGCUGGGCUUUCCUUUGUGUAAGUGGAAGUGCUGGUAAGCGUCAGGUGACGGCUCCUUACCUCACCAGACGCGGCCGGACCCCGGAAGGGGUCUGGGCCCCGAAGCCUGACGGCGUCGGGGUGCAGGAAGCCUCUAGGCGACCAGCCCAGCCGUGCAGAAAUGCAGUAGGCCUUUAUCUGGCUAUUAACGGUAAAUUCACCGGGCCAGUGUCUGACCGAGGUUUUGUGGCACCUAACUAGGCAAGAGGGUGGACCAGGCAGGGGCGGUUGUAUCCGAAAGGUCGCCGUCUCCCUCCGUUUUGCCUGGCUCCGCAAGGGGCGUGUCUACGUCUCCUGCUGUGGGACUCGCCGUCUCCUGUUCUCAGUUGACGGGCCAGCAGCCUAACGGCGGCUGGUUGUGGCGACCUACCGGAAGCUACACGAGAGCGGGCCUAAAGGCCCGCCCCGCAGUUGGGGGGCGGAGACCGCCGCCCCCCAAACCCCCCACGGUACACU